AGCCUGAACCAGCCAAGUAGCGUGGAGGAUGACCGCCCUACGGGUUGUAAACUCCUUUUAUAAGGGAAUAAAACCUCCCACGUGUGGGAGCUUGUAUGUACCUUAUGAAUAAGCAUCGGCUAACUCCGUGCCAGCAGCCGCGGUAAUACGGAGGAUGCGAGCGUUAUCCGGAUUUAUUGGGUUUAAAGGGAGCGUAGACGGGAUGUCAAGUCAGCUGUGAAAGUUUGCGGCUCAACCGUAAAAUUGCAGUUGAAACUGGCUUUCUUGAGUGCGUUCGAGGCAGGCGGAAUUCGUGGUGUAGCGGUGAAAUGCAUAGAUAUCACGAAGAACCCCGAUUGCGAAGGCAGCCUGCUAGGCCGCAACUGACGUUGAUGCUCGAAAGUGCGGGUAUCAAACAGGAUUAGAUACCCUGGUAGUCCGCACGGUAAACGAUGGGCACUCGCUGCCGGCGAUAUACAGCCGGCGGCUUAGCGAAAGCGUUAAGUGCCCCACCUGGGGAGUACGCCGGCAACGGUGAAACUCAAAGGAAUUGACGGGGGCCCGCACAAGCGGAGGAACAUGUGGUUUAAUUCGAUGAUACGCGAGGAACCUUACCCGGGCUUGAACUGCGGAUGAAUUGCGCGGAAACGCGCAAGUGGGCAACCACAUCCGUGGAGGUGCUGCAUGGUUGUCGUCAGCUCGUGCCGUGAGGUGUCGGCUUAAGUGCCAUAACGAGCGCAACCCCUUCCGCCAGUUGCCAUCAGGUUAUGCUGGGGACUCUGGCGGUACUGCCAUCGUAAGAUGCGAGGAAGGUGGGGAUGACGUCAAAUCAGCACGGCCCUUACGUCCGGGGCUACACACGUGUUACAAUGGGGGGUACAGAGGGCCGCCAUCCGGCGACGGAGCGCCAAUCCCUAAAGCCCCUCCCAGUUCGGACUGGAGCCUGCAACCCGGCUCCACGAAGCUGGAUUCGCUAGUAAUCGCGCAUCAGCCA
rnacentral:rRNA from 1 species